GAUGAACGCUGGCGGCGUGCCUAAUACAUGCAAGUCGAGCGAACAGACGAGGAGCUUGCUCCUCUGACGUUAGCGGCGGACGGGUGAGUAACACGUGGAUAACCUACCUAUAAGACUGGGGUAACUUCGGGAAACCGGAGCUAAUACCGGAUAAUAUAUUGAACCGCAUGGUUCAAUAGUGAAAGACGGUUUUGCUGUCACUUAUAGAUGGAUCCGCGCCGCAUUAGCUAGUUGGUAAGGUAACGGCUUACCAAGGCAACGAUGCGUAGCCGACCUGAGAGGGUGAUCGGCCACACUGGAACUGAGACACGGUCCAGACUCCUACGGGAGGCAGCAGUAGGGAAUCUUCCGCAAAGGGCGAAAGCUUGACGGAGCAACGCCGCGUGAGUGAUGAAGGUCUUCGGAUCGUAAAACUCUGUUAUUAGGGAAGAACAAAUGUGUAAGUAACUAUGCACGUCUUGACGGUACCUAAUCAGAAAGCCACGGCUAACUACGUG
rnacentral:rRNA from 1 species